rnacentral:lncRNA from 1 species
UAAAAUCAAACCAUUUUAUUGAUAUAUUAUAAUUUAGAGCUAGUGCUCCAAUUUUAUUUUAUUUUUUCCUUUUUAGUCACAGCCACCGGGGGCAAACCCAAUCCUUUCCUUCGCACCAUCAAAGACUAUAGUGUAAGUCUUUUGCUGAAAAUUCCCAAAGAUAGAAACUUCGUCAUCCAAUUCUGCAAAUGCCAAGCAGUACACCUUGCUCCCUGGUGGAUGUUGCACCAUGAUCCCCGAAACAUCGAUAUCCAUCUCUACGCCACCUUCGAAGAACACACUAAUCGAAGGUAUUGCAACCGUGCUAUAAUUACUGAAGUCAUAGCAUGUGUCUAGAAAGAUAUCUUGGGCCGACAAAGGAUAACCUUUCAACAUUUCUCGGAACACCGACCUCAGUGUCGAGUAUGCCUUCGGAGGCAGCCGAGUGAGCACUGUACCGGAGUCGAUGGCGCUAGCAAUCUUAAAAGCCGAUGCAUCUAUUAAUAGUUUACGGCCUCCAACACUAAUUCCAGUCAUUUUGAUGUCGUAGUCCGAGGAUGGCGCUGUUUUAGAUACUGGGGAGAAUCUCACAUCGUUCGACACUUUGCCGCCGAAAGUAAGAUGACCAGUUGAGCCAGGAGUUGACGGUAUACAAUAAGAGAAGAGUUUGUUGUAUAUAUUAGCAGUUUGUGAUGCAAAAGAUAUAGGCUCGCGGUUUAGUCCCAUUAUACCAGAUUCUCCAUCUGAAUCACCAGAUACUUGAUCGCUGCAUCCAAUCAAAACGUUCUUGAAGUCGUACUGUAAAUGGCUGAAGGAUAUUGUUUCGGUGGCCAAAGUUCCUGUGGAGCUGCUGUUGUCUACAUAUGCACUUUUGUAGGUGCACUUCGAAGAGGAGCAUCCUGUAUCCGCAACAUUGAAAAUACAUGUCUUGAAAUUUUAUUUUUUAAAAGGUUUAAUUUAUCUCAUUUUUGUGUCAAUAAUAUUGUUAAUUAGCCAAUCAAAACUUUUAAUGCAUGUCAAAAUAAUAAUAUUUACCUUGCCCGAUUGCUUGGCAUAGCUUUGAGGAACAUGGAAGGCCUUUGAAUGAAGCUGACUUGGUUGGAUCGAACACAGGCACUUUUGGAUAGCAAGCCUUGCAUGGCUUACAUUGAGUCCAAAUGAGACCACUGCCUGUGUCGAAUAUAAGUGGCAUUUCCUUCUUGGGCGUACCGAUUCCAACGUUUACAAUAUAGUCACUUGCAGUGAUUUUGGGUAGACCAUAGAACGGGACACUACUCUUCAUGUGCUCACCACUGCUGGUCAAGUUCACUGAACGCCGGGCCUGAAUAAUUGAGUCCACUCGAAGUUUGUCUCGACGGAGGAUAUCGUUGACGGAUGAUGCUGGAGCAGUUGAUGUUCUGUGUGGAUUGCAUGGACCGAACCUGUGUACUAACUUUAGGGAUGAUGAACCCUUGUUGACAGCUGAAACACAAAGCAAUUACCUUAAGAACACAUCAAGGGCAAUCCUCUCCCUCUACAUUGUGCUUCACAGUCCCAAAUAAAAUGCGAACAAUUUCUUCAAAAAUAGUAGUAAGAAGAAGGUCAUGUUGUUAAUUAAUUUUUGAAUCAAGAACUAUAAUACCUUUGGAAGAUUCCUUGCAGACUUCUGAUGGUGGGAGAGAAUUGAUUUUGAGAGUAUGAAAAUAUUCUCUCGUUCCUUCAUCGGCAGUGUCCUUCAAAGAGUUGCAAGGGGAAAGAAGAAGAAAACCAUAAAUCACAAAAGAAAGUAGUGAUUUAGAAGACAUGGGGGCGCCAAUGGGAGACAAAUAUUCUUCUCUUAAACAAUUAUUAUGCUUCUCUCGAAGUAGGUAGAGCUAUUUAUACAUGCACAACGAGUUAAUUUACAAUAUUCUAAAUGGCACAAUGUACUGUGGCAUAAUGGCACAAUUAUUAGUUACAAUGUACUGUGGCAUAAUGGCACAAUUAUUAUGCACAAUGUACUGUGGCCGGACAAUUAUUAUGCACAAUGUACUGUGGCCACAAAAAAUGUGCUAGAAUUAUAAUAGUAAUUUACAGUAUAUUUUUUUUAUUUUUUAUUUUUUAAAAUUAUUUUUAUUAAUUUUAUUUUUUAAAUAUUGAUCUGAUUAAAAAAAUAUUUAUAAAUUAUUUUUAAAAUAGUGUGAUUACUGCAGUGUUUUUCCACAUAGUUUUUAUAUUUUAUUUUUUAAAAUUAUAUUUGUUGAUUUUUUUUUAAUAUUGAACUGAUUGAGAAUUUAGUUUUGUAAUUUUUUUUCUUUAAAGUAUUAUUGAUUGUUAUAAUGUUUUUCUGUAUAUAUUUUUUUUAUGAUUUUAUUAAAAAUUAUCUUUUUUUAUUUUAUUUUUUAAUAUUUAACUGGUUAAAAAUAAUAACAAAAAAAAGCAUUAUAACUUUCCUUGAAUAUUACUGUGGAUUUUAUACGCGAGUAGCAUAUCCCAAGUGUGCCUGGCACUUGCUGGAAAUAGUGAUGCAACUGACGUGUUCAUUUUCGGAAAUGUUCAGCAAAAAACACUAUGUUCAUAUAAUUUCAUUUCAAAUUAGCUUGCUUAAAGAACAGUUGCACGUGUUGUAAUUUAAUCACUGGGAUUAAAUCGAAAGGGCUGAAAUGAAGGAUUAUAAUUUCAUUUAAAAUGAUAAAUAUGAAAAAUAUUUUUGACUAUGUUCAUAUAAUUUCAUUGAAAGGGCUGAAAUGAAGGACUAUAAUUUCAUCACUGUGAUAGAGUCCGUGUAAGUUAACCGUGAAUUAUAAUAGUAAUAUUUUUUUUAUUCUUUAUUUUUUUUUCUAUCUUGAUCGUCCUACUUUCUUUUUUCUUUUAAUUUCUAAAAAAAAAAAACUAGUACUUUAUAUACAAUCUUCCAUAGACGAAUUUCAUCAAGGUUAGGAGGCCCGCGGCUUGGAUUAAGCCGGCUAUUGAGCUGAUGAAAUGGAAUAGAUAUGGGUCCUCUUUUGGGAAGCCUGAAAGAUCAGGUAUUGGUGGAGUCUCGAGCGAUUCGUUAUAUGAAUUUGUUUUUAUUUUCUCGAACUUCAAAAGCAGUAUAGCAGUUUUAACAUUAUUUGUCUCUAGAGAGAUUAAAGUAGUAUAGCACUAAACUAGUUUUACUCAACCGUGAUAUAUUACUGGUCAAAUCAAUAUUUUUACAAAUUAACAAAAAUUACAGAUUAUAUUUUUACAGUUUUGUUUUUUUUAUUACUAUUAUUAUUGGCUCUAGUGUUCCUUUUCUUUUAAUAAAGACUCCAUUUUCAUCUUAAAAAUAUAAAAACUAAACUUUCCCACAAUAAUAAAAUAUAUAAUAAAAAAAAAUAUAGUUGAAAUCCAUUGAAACUCCCAAGAAAAAUAAAAAUAAAAAUCCAAAACUUAAACAAACAUGUUGUGCCCAGCACUAGUUUGCACAGGUACACAAGCAUAUAAUUAGUGUAAAGGAACACUUAACAUAGUUUUUUUUUUAUAUAUAUAUAUAAAAAAUAGCCACAUUUUUUUAAAGAAAGUAAUAAUUGUAAGAUUUUUUUUUUAUUAUUAUUAUGUUUUCUCACUCCUCUCCUCAUUUUAAUUUGUGAAGAGAAAAAAGAGAAAAAAAUGAUAAAAAAUACCCCAAAGAUACAUUGAAGUUUCGACACCAUUAAUACCAUAAAAUAAAUUUUGAUAAAAUAAAUAUAAUAAUAUUAUGAAUAGUCACUAAUAAUGACUCGAGUAGUUCAUACUUGUCAUCAAAGACAAGUGAAGCACCCAUCACCUUUUGACAGCAAAUGUAACAUGCUUAAAAUAUAGUUAGUGAUUUUUUUUAUAUCAUUAGAUUUGUUUUUAUUAAUAUAUAAAAAUGUUAUUAGAUUUAUUUCAUUAAUAUAUUUUUUAUUCUACCAAUUGUAUUUUUAUUGAAGCUUUGAUGUGUUUUUAAAGUUUUUUUUUUUUCUGUUCAAGUGUUCAAUUUUUUUUAAAAUGUCGUUAUUUGUAAUAACAACAAACUUAAAUUUAGUAUUUAUUAAUCCUAACAUAUACAUGUUAUUUCACAAAUUGCUUUUCAAACUAUGUUAUUUGUUAAUAUUUUUCUUUUUAAAAAGUGCUAAUUAACAAGAUAGGACGGAAUUUUUGGGUAUAUGUGUAGCACAUGGAAUUAAAAGGAAAAUGGUUCCGGGAAACAGAAAAGAAUGCAACGAAUAGAGCACCAGCUAUUCAUCUCUUUCUUUCGAUUUUUCCUUUGGGUGGAAGAAAAACCAGCUCAUAGCUCAUGAUGGGUACAACUAAAAAAGAUCCCACUUUGAGCUAAAUUGUAAAAAGCUUCUUGAGCUUGAUUGAAAAAACAAAUCUUUGAUGUUUCAUCUUAAAUAUCAUGGUCUUCUUAAUAUGUCUCUCUAUUAGAGUUUUAUCGAGAAAUUUAAGAGGAAAAAAACCCUUAAAAAUCAUUUCAAUUCUUUUUCUUUAGCUGUGAAUAUAUUUUCUUAAGUCGGUGGAGGAAAAAAAAGGGAAAUGGUAGGAUUUCUAUGGGGUUUUUUCUUCAAGUUCUCUGAUAAAGGAUCGUAUUCAAAAAAUCAUAUUGUUUAGGAUAAAGAUCAGAGAUGUUUUAGUUCGAGAGGGGAAUAUUUUUUUAAUUUAGCCUUAAUUUCACUUGAAGUUAAAAAAAUUAUGCAAUAUUUCACUUUUUGGCAAAUGAAAUGGAUAAAGGAAGGAAGUUUUGGGGAUAUGUGUAGCUCGUGGAAUUAAAAGGAAAAGAGGAAACAUGACUGGACAGGAUAUUUCUUUAGCAAGCUUUUGGUCAAUUAUAUGUUGCCGUAGUAGGGUUGUUAAUUCCGUUUUGCUUCAUUUAAAACGGUGAAAAUAUUUAAUAUUAAUUAAAAAAAUAGAAUACAAUACAAUAAUUUUUAUCUCAUUUUAUAUCUUGAUUAGUUUUAGAUUUUUCAAAUAAAUUUUAGUUGGAAUGUUCGGUUUCAUUUUAUAUGCUUCGUUUCGGGUUUGAAAAGCCAUUAAAUUAAAUUGAUAUUUUGUUUAAGUUGAAUUACUUUAAGUUAAAAUUCUAUUUAAUUUUAACUAUUUAGAAAUAUUUUAAAAUUUUAAAUUAUAUUUGUUUGAUAUUGUAUUUGUAUUGCAUAAUUUAUAAUUAAUUUAUUUUAAAUUUGAAUUAUAUUUGUUGAUUCCAAAACGACACCGAAAUGGUUCAAAAUCAAAAUAUUUCAUUUUAAUUAAAAAAAAUAUUUAACAUCUAUUAAAACAAAAUUGGUAACCUUGAGCCAUAUAGGCUUGUGAGUGGUGGUCAGGUAGCUUGCAGAUGAGUUGAAUUAAUUGUUAAUUUGACAUGUAAGAUUAAUUGGUUUUUGUGUUUAAGAUUUGUUUUUUAAAAGAUUGAUUUUUUUUUAUUUUAAAUUAAUUUUUUUUUAUGUUUUUACUUAGUUUUGAUAUAAAAAAUAAAUUUAGAAAAAAUAAAAAAAAUUAUUUCAAAUAAAAAAUAUUUUUAAAAAAAUCUUAACUAUAAUACCAAACAAGCUAUUAGUUGAAUUAAAAAAAUAUAUUACAUCUUCAACUCCAUUGAAUACAUUAAUGAAAACAUAGUGAUUGAGUUGAGGAAACAUAAUCAAUCACCCGAAAUAGAAUUGGUGGCAUUGCUAGGAGGUGAGAAGUGUAGCAUCUUCUUCACUUCACUUUUUAUGAUGGAUAAAAAGAGAACACACCCAUGUAGACAUUCUUUGAGAAAAAAAAAAUCAAUCUUGUUUUGAUUAAAAAAAAAUCAGUUAUUUAUAGGUUGACCGAUAAUUGAGUGAUUUAAGUUUUUGAUUAAGUUUUUUUUAUUGAUUCGUACUCCAGACUUGGUUCAACAUCUAUGUUUUCUACUAUUUAAUUUAAUUUAUUUACUUAACAAAUGUACAUAUUUACUAUUUUUGAAUACCAAUUUCUUUUGUUUUAGAGAAUAUUAAUUUUAAUAAAAUUAAAAGGUUUGUCAGUGAAUGUAUUAAGAGAAUAGCAAAAAGAAAAUAUAAAAACAAACCAUUUUAUUGAUAUAUUAUAAUUUAGAGCUAGUGCUCCAAUUUUUUUUUUUUUUCUUUCUUUUUAGUCACAGCCACCGGGGGCAAACCCAAUCCUUUCCUUCGCACCAUCAAAGACUAUAGUGUAAGUCUUUUGCUGAAAAUUCCCAAAGAUAGAAACUUCGUAAUCCAAUUCUGCAAAUGCCAAGCAGUACACCUUGCUCCCUGGUGGAUGUUGCAACAUGAUCCCCGAAACAUCGAUAUCCAUCUCUACGCCACCUUCGAAGAACACACUAAUCGAGGUAUUGCAACCGUGCUAUAAUUACUGAAGUCAUAGCAUGUGUCUAGAAAGAUAUCUUGGGCCGACAAAGGAUAACCUUUCAACAUUUCUCGGAACACCGACCUCAGUGUCGAGUAUGCCUUCGGAGGCAGCUGAGUGAGCACUGCACCGGAGUCGAUGGCGCUAGCAAUCUUAAAAGCCGAUGCAUCUAUUAAUAGUUUACGGCCUCCAACACUAAUUCCAGUCAUUUUGAUGUCGUAGUCAGAGGAUGGCGCUGUUUUAGAUACUGGGGAGAAUCUCACAUCGUUCGACACUUUGAGCUAAAUUGUAAAAAGCUUCUUGAGCUUGAUUGAAAAAACAAAUCUUUGAUGUUUCAUCUUAAAUAUCAUGGUCUUCUUAAUAUGUCUCUCUAUUAGAGUUUUCUCGAGAAAUUUAAGAGGAAAAAACCCCUUAAAAAUCAUUUCAAUUCUUUUUCUUUAGCUGUGAAUAUAUUUUCUUAAGUCGGUAGAGGAAAAAAAAAGGGAAAUGGUAGGAUUUCUAUGGGGUUUUUUCUUCAAGUUCUCUGAUAAAGGAUCGUAUUCAAAAAAUCAUAUUGUUUAGGAUAAAGAUCAGAGAUGUUUUAGUUCGAGAGGGGUAUAUUUUUUUAAUUUAGCCUUAAUUUCACUUGAAGUUAAAAAAAUUAUGCAAUAUUUCACUUUUUGGCAAAUGAAAUGGACAAAGAAAGGAAGUUUUGGGGAUAUGUGAAGCUCAUGGAAUUAAAAGGAAAAGAGGAAACAUGACUGGACAGGAUAUUUCUUUAGCAAGCUUUUGGUCAAUUAUAUGUUGCCGUAGUAGGGUUGUUAAUUCCGUUUUGCUUCAUUUAAAACGGUGAAAUAUUUAAUAUUAAUUUAAAAAAUAAAAUAAAAUAGAAUAAUUUUUAUUUCAUUUUAUAUCUUAAUCAGUUUUAGAUUUUUCGAAUAAAUUUCAGCUGGAAUGUUCCGGUUUCAUUUUAUAUGUUUCGUUUCAGGCUUGAAAAGCCAUUAAAUCAAAUUGGUAUUUUGUUUAAGUUGAAUUAUUUUAAGUUAAAAUUCUAUUUAAUCUUAACUAUUUAGAAAUAUUUUAAAUUUUAAAAUUAUAUUUGUUUGAUAUUGUAUUUGUAUUACAUAAUUUAUAAUUAAUUUAUUUUAAAUUUGAAUUAUAUUUGUUGAUUCCAAAACGACACCAAAAUGGUUCAAAAUCAAAAUAUUUCAUUUUAAUUGAAAAAAAUAUUUAACAUCUAUUAAAACAAAAUUGGUAACCUUGAGCCAUAUAGGCUUGUGAGUGGUGGUCAGGUAGCUUGCAGAUGAGUUGAAUUAAUUGUUAAUUUGACAUGUAAGAUUAAUUUGUUUUUGUGUUUAAGAUUUGUUUUUUAAAAGAUUGAAAUUUUUUAUUUUAAAUUAAUUUUUUUAUGUUUUUACUUAGUUUUGAUAUAAAAAAUAAAUUUAAAAAAAUUAAAAAAAACUAUUUCAAUUUAUUUUCAAAUAAAAAAUUUCAAUCUUUUAAAAAACAAAUCUUUUAAUAGUUUACGGCCUCCAACACUAAUUCCAGUCAUUUUGAUGUCGUAGUCCGAGGAUGGCGCUGUUUUAGAUACUGGGGAGAAUCUCACAUCGUUCGACACUUUGCCGCCGAAAGUAAGAUGAUCAGUUGAGCCAGGAGUUGAAGGUAUACAAUAAGAGAAGAGUUUGUUGUAUAUAUUAGCAGUUUGUGAUGCAAAAGAUAUAGGCUCGCGGUUUAGUCCCAUUAUACCAG